rnacentral:tRNA from 1 species
UGUUACGUAGCUUAAUUGGCAAAGCUGUCCAAGGCCAUGGACGAUAUGGGUUCAAAUCCCAUCGUAACAGC